rnacentral:rRNA from 1 species
GACGAACGCUGGCGGCGUGCCUAACACAUGCAAGUCGAACGGAAACGCCCUGCUUUUGUGGGGUUCUCGAGUGGCGAACGGGUGAGUAACACGUGAGUAACCUGCCCUUGACUUUGGGAUAACUUCAGGAAACUGGGGUUAAUACCGGAUAGGAGCUCCUGUUGCAUGGUGGGGGUUGGAAAGUUUCGGCGUGUGGGGCUGGACUCGCGGCUUAUGAGCUUGUUGGUGGGGUAGUGGCUUACCAAGGAUUUGACGGGUCGCCGGCCUGAGAGGGUGGCCGGCGACCAUGGGACUGCGAUAGGGACCAGAGGGCAACGGGAGGCAGCAGGGGAGAAUAUUGUCCAAUGGGCGGAAGUCUGAGAAGACGACGCCGGGUGCGGGAUGACGGCCUUCGGGUUGAAAAACGCUUUCGCCUAUGACGAAGCGUGAGUGACGGUAAUGGAUAAAGAAGCACCGGCUAACUACGUG